rnacentral:misc_RNA from 1 species
AAGGGAGACAUAAUUCGGGUAUAAGGAGAAAAAAGAGUAGUAGAAACCAAGAAUCAAUCCCAAAUGGUAGGAAGGUGGUAUGUGGUUUUCAAAGUUUGUUGGGUGUUCACACACGACAAUAAUCAGCAACAAGGGUUAUUUCAUCAGGUGGUUGGACCGCCCCCAUGAUAAGGGUGAGGUCCGUGGUUGGACUGCAGGAUGCCCCACCUCCACAGGUGGCAACAACAGAGAACCGGGGAAUCCGCACCUUAUCUUAUACAUAUAUAAGAGAGAAUGCUGGCUCUGAGUAAAGAGUCCAGAGGAACCUUGAAAACUGCAUAGAGCUAGGUGAAAAAGCCAAAAAAGAAGACCGCAA